CUGUUUGCUCUCUGUGAUAGCUGGUUUAGUAAUUUGCCCCUAUUGGCUGACUUCCUUUCAAUGGAUAAUUUCCCUACUUUUCUGCUGGUGUUCACUGCACCUUCCAAAUAAACUAUUUGCCCUGAUUUUUGUUUGUUUGUUUGUUUGUUUGUUUCUGAACCUGCUUCUUGAAGACCUAAAAAAAGAACAUAUUCCACCUCACAUUUUACCACUAAGAAAAUAAUCGCAUACUUUAUAGAUCUUUUCAUGUUAUGAGGGCAGCACAUCUUUAGGGAAUAGUGUUCCAGCUAAUUUAUUAGUUAAUUCAGAAGACUGUCAAUUUUGAUGAGGGGCCAGAACAAGAAAGACCACUGCAGCAGAAAUUAAGCAGCCCCGCACUUGGUGUGAUAUGACCCAAGCGCUUCCACGUGGCUAGAGGCAUUUGUAGUAGAUACGGUGACCAUGUGGAAUAUUUAGGAAGACUUAAGAGAGUUUCUAUGAAGAUUCUAGGAUUUUAGAGCAAGAGCAUGAGGUCUGCAGAAGGGAACUGUUUAGAAUUUGAAAAGCUAGCUCUUAGCAAGCUGCUAGGCCUCAGCAUUGCUUAACUGUGGGAAUCAAAUUCCUUUGUGUUCGGAACUGCCCAUUAUGACCUGGGUAUUGUUAGAUCCACUAGCAAAUAUCCAUCAUAUGAUGGAGAUAAUACAUUCAGGAGAUAAUCCAAGCAAGACUGUGGGGCACAUGUCAUUUAUGUAAAUACGUGGCCCAGCUCAUGAUGGGUAGGCUGGAUGUGUUGAUAGCAAAAAUGUUACCACAUUUUACACCCACUUAGAAGCAGCCUUGAGAGAUAGUUAAGUGAAAUCCUCAUAGUGGGCAGAAUUUUGUGUGAUCAUCAGCUAGACGUGACAGGACAAACAGCCUCAUGUAAAAACGUGUGUGUUUUCCUGAGCACUGAGAAAUGAUUAGCUGGUUGGCUGAGGUCCUGGAAAGAACAAAAUUGAAUAAUUAGAAACAAAGAUAUCUGGAGAUUUAUCUGUGGAAGUAGUUAUGAAGUGUGAGGAUCUUUUUUUUUCAUGUUAAUGCCCACUAAAGAAUACUGAACAGCAAGGUGGACAGGAUAAUUCUUCCAGCAAAUUUCAGCCAGUCUUUACUCUCAGCCACACUAGUGUUUACACAGUGGAUGGCAUAGCCAUGGUGGCAGACAUGAAGGCUGCAACAUCAUUGGCUCACUUUCAUCAAGCC
rnacentral:lncRNA from 1 species